rnacentral:rRNA from 1 species
UCUACGGGUGGCAGCAGUGAGGAAUAUUGGUCAAUGGCCGGAAGGCUGAACCAGCCAUGCCGCGUGAAGGUCAGUGCCCUAUGGGCGUUAAACUUCUUUUGUGCGGGAGCAAUAAUGGUCACGUGUGGCCAGACGAGAGUACCGUACGAAUAAGCAUCGGCUAACUCCGUGCCAGCAGCCGCGGUAAUACGGGGGGUGCAAGCGUUAUCCGGAUUUAUUGGGUUGAAAGGGGGCGUAGGCUGUGAGGUAAGUCAGCGGUGAAAUGCCCCCGCUCAACGGGGUGAAGUGCCAUUGAUACUGCCUGGCUGGAAUGCGGAUGCCGUGGGAGGAAUGUGGGGUGUAGCGGUGAAAUGCUUAGAUAUCACGAAGAACUCCGAUUGCGAAGGCAGCUCACUGGACUGCAACUGACACUGAGGCUCGAAAGUGUGGGUAUCAAACAGGAUUAGAUACCCGAGUAGUC